GCCUCUGUGGCGGAACUGGUAGACGCGAUAGACUCAAAAUCUGUUGUCCGCAAGGACGUGCUGGUUCGAUUCCGGCCAGGGGCACCA
rnacentral:tRNA from 1 species